rfam:Myotis lucifugus cont2.12817, whole genome shotgun sequence.
GAGACACCCCUAUGGAGCAGGACUUGCUUCAAUGGGGAUUUGGUGCUCACUGAGUUGCCCCUUGAGUGUGUCACU